CCGAAGGAUUUACAGAAAGGUGAUUCGAUUCAAAUCAGAGAGGUAUGGAACGAUAAUCUGGAAGAGGAGUUUGUGUUGAUUCGUGAAAUUGUUGAUAAGUAUAACUAUGUUGCGAUGGAUACGGAGUUUCCUGGUGUUGUUCUUCGGCCUGUUGGGAAUUUUAAGCAUAUUAAUGAUUUUAACUAUCAGACUUUGAAGGAUAACGUUGAUAUGUUGAAGCUGAUUCAGUUAGGUUUAACUUUUUCUGAUGAGAAUGGAAAUUUACCUACUUGUGGCACUGAUAGUCCUUGCAUCUGGCAAUUCAAUUUUCGCGAGUUUAAUGUUAGCGAAGAUAUUUUCGCUGCUGAUUCGAUUGAGCUUUUGCGUCAAUGCGGAAUUGAUUUUAAGAAGAACAGCGAGCAAGGAAUUGAUGUG
rnacentral:lncRNA from 1 species